GCCGAAGUGGUGGAAUUGGUAGACACGCUAUCUUGAGGGGGUAGUGGGCUAAACCCGUGCCGGUUCAAAUCCGGCCUUCGGCA
rnacentral:tRNA from 1 species